GAUGAACGCUGGCGGCGUGCCUAAUACAUGCAAGUCGAGCGAACAGAUGAGGAGCUUGCUCCUCUGACGUUAGCGGCGGACGGGUGGGUAACACGUGGAUAACCUACCUAUAAGACUGGGAUGACUUCGGGAAACCGGAGCUAAUACCGGAUAAUAUAUUGAACCGCAUGGUUCAAUAGUGAAAGACGGUUUUGCUGUCACUUAUAGAUGGAUCCGCGCCGCAUUAGCUAGUUGGUAAGGUAACGGCUUACCAAGGCAACGAUGCGUAGCCGACCUGAGAGGGUGAUCGGCCACACUGGAACUGAGACACGGUCCAGACUCCUACGGGAGGCAGCAGUAGGGAAUCUUCCGCAAUGGGCGAAAGCCUGACGGAGCAACGCCGCGUGAGUGAUGAAGGUCUUCGGAUCGUAAAACUCUGUUAUUAGGGAAGAACAAAUGUGUAAGUAACUAUGCACGUCUUGACGGUACCUAAUCAGAAAGCCACGGCUAACUACGUG
rnacentral:rRNA from 1 species